GUGUUCUUGCUCCAAAAAGUAAGUAUAUAUGCUAUGGACAUAACCACAAAAAGAUUUCCUGCUAGGUUUUCUAUCUGCUACCUUGCUAGCAAUCAGCCUAUGGGGAACAUUU
ensembl:snoRNA